rnacentral:rRNA from 1 species
AUCUAUGGCCAUGCCACCCUGAACACGCCUGAUCCCACCUGAUCUUGGAAGCUAAGCACGGAAGAAAGCGAAGGUGAAACUGGAGAGAUUGUCAGAAGUUAGACCAUGUGGGGCCUUGUAGAUC